CACGUAGGGGGCAAGCGUUGUCCGGAUUUAUUGGGCGUAAAGAGCUCGUAGGUGGUUCGGUAAGUCAGGUGUGAAACCUCCAGGCUCAACCUGGAGACGCCACUUGAUACUGCUGUGACUGGAGUCCGGUAGGGGAGCGUGGAAUUCCCGGUGUAGCGGUGAAAUGCGCAGAUAUCGGGAAGAACACCGGUGGCGAAGGCGGUUCUCUGGGCCUGACCUGACGCUGAGGAGCGAAAGCGUGGGGAGCGAACAGG
rnacentral:rRNA from 1 species